rnacentral:lncRNA from 1 species
UCCGUAUUGCGAGGGUACAGAGCACUUCCUCAAUAAGUCUCCGGCUAUUCAGAGACUCACCCGAGAGGAGGUCAUAGAGUGGAUCAAAGUCAACAAGAGAUGCUGGAGAUGCGGGAGAGCACAUCAAGCAGCGCAAUGUGACCUCAAGAGGCUCUGUGAUGUGUGCCAAGGAAAGCAUCUAAGGGUACUGCGUGAUGUCAACGCACGCCCCAAAGCUGAGCAACCGAAAGCUGAAAGCUGUCUUGUAAGCACAUUACGGAAGUUCUGUACCUAGACAGACCAUCGUCCCAUGCCCGGGUACUGUUGAAAGUCAUCAGAGUUCUCCUGCGCAACAGAGACAGGACACUAGACACUUAUACGAUUUUGGACGAUGGAUCGGAGCGGACAAUGCUCCUCCCUGAGGCAGUUGACAAACUGGGCCUGCAUAAGAAGCCUGAAGAUCUCGCUCUCCGCACAAUUCCACAGGAAGUUCAAACCCUGAAGGGAGCCGCUGUUUCAUUCAAAAUCUCAUCCCCAACUAAUCCCAAAAGAACUUUCCAGAUAGUGGAGGCCUUCACUUCACAACACUUGGGUCUGGCAGACCACUCCUACCCCAUCGCCAGUCUGAAGAGGAGGUACAAACACCUAGCAGAACUCCCCCUUGAGCCAUUUGAACAUGUCAAGCCGCUCGUGCUGAUUGGUGCAGACUACCCCCAUCUACUUACCCCUGUCGAGCCGGUGAGACUGGGCCCUCCUGGAGGUCCGGUGGCCAUUCGCACGAGGCUGGGAUGGACGCUCCAAGGACCUGCACACCUUACCCAGUGGACCCCGAGUAUCCAGCAGUGUCUCCUCACUGGGGUCUCAUUCCAGACGACAGAGCUGAUGCAGAACGUGGAGAAGCUCUGGAAGAUGGACAUCCUGCCAUACCAGAGUAGCAAACUGGCAGUGAGAUCAAAGCAGGAUAAGGAAGCGCUGGAGCACUUGGAGGCCAGGACGAGGCGAGUACAGGUUGCAGGUAUCCUUAGAUAUGCCAUGCCCCUGCUAAGGAAGCAAGGCGUUCCCCCACUCAGAGCUCCCAAGGAAGCCGUCCUACCCAGCCUCAGGAGUCUAGAGAGACGCUUGGCCCGGGAUCCUCUACAAGCUGAAGAGUACUGUGCAGCGAUUCGGAAGUUGUUGGAAGUAGGCGCGAUCAGGAGGAUAGACCCAGGCAAAGCCUUAGCCACCAAUGAGUCAUGGUACAUACCGC